rnacentral:rRNA from 1 species
AGCGCAGGCGGUUUCUUAAGUCUGAUGUGAAAGCCUUCGGCUUAACCGGAGAAGAGCAUCAGAAACUGGGAGACUUGAGUGCAGAAAAGGACAGUGGAACUCCAUGUGUAGCGGUGAAAUGCGUAGAUAUAUGGAAGAACACCAGUGGCGAAGGCGGCUGUCUGGUCUGUAACUGACGCUGAGGCUCGAAAGCAUGGGUAGCGAACA